CAUUACCGAGUUUACAACUCCCAAACCCCUGUGAACAUACCUUAAUGUUGCCUCGGCGGAUCAGCCCGCGCCCCGUAAAACGGGACGGCCCGCCAGAGGACCCAAACUCUAAUGUUUCUUAUUGUAACUUCUGAGUAAAACAAACAAAUAAAUCAAAACUUUCAACAACGGAUCUCUUGGUUCUGGCAUCGAUGAAGAACGCAGCAAAAUGCGAUAAGUAAUGUGAAUUGCAGAAUUCAGUGAAUCAUCGAAUCUUUGAACGCACAUUGCGCCCGCUGGUAUUCCGGCGGGCAUGCCUGUUCGAGCGUCAUUUCAACCCUCAAGCCCCCGGGUUUGGUGUUGGGGAUCGGCUCUGCCCUUCUGGGCGGUGCCGCCCCCGAAAUACAUUGGCGGUCUCGCUGCAGCCUCCAUUGCGUAGUAGCUAACACCUCGCAACUGGAACGCGGCGCGGCCAUGCCGUAAAACCCCAACUUCUGAAUGUUGACCUCGGAUCAGGUAGGAAUACCCGCUGAACUUAAGCAUAUCAAUAAGC
rnacentral:rRNA from 1 species